UGGGGUGUAGCUCAGUGGUACAGCACCUGCUUAGUCUGUGCGAGUUCCUGGGCUCAAUUCCCAACACCACAA
rnacentral:tRNA from 1 species